AAAUUGAAGGGUUUGAUCAUGGCUCAGAUUGAACGCUGGCGUCAGGCCUAACACAUGCAAGUCGAACGGUAACAGGAAGAAGAUUGCUUCUUUGCUGACGAGUGGCAGACGGGUGAGUAAUGUCUGGGAAACUGCCUGAUGGAGGGGGAUAACUACUGGAAACGGUAGCUAAUACCGCAUAACGUCGCAAGACCAAAGAGGGGGACCUUCGGGCCUCUUGCCAUCGGAUGUGCCCAGAUGGGAUUAGCUAGUAGGUGGGGUAAAGGCUCACCUAGGCGACGAUCCCUAGCUGGUCUGAGAGGAUGACCAGCCACACUGGAACUGAGACACGGUCCAGACUCCUACGGGAGGCAGCAGUGGGGAAUAUUGCACAAUGGGCGCAAGCCUGAUGCAGCCAUGCCGCGUGUAUGAAGAAGGCCUUCGGGUUGUAAAGUACUUUCAGCGGGGAGGAAGGGAGUAAAGUUAAUACCUUUGCUCAUUGACGUUACCCGCAGAAGAAGCACCGGCUAACUCCGUGCCAGCAGCCGCGGUAAUACGGAGGGUGCAAGCGUUAAUCGGAAUUACUGGGCGUAAAGCGCACGCAGGCGGUUUGUUAAGUCAGAUGUGAAAUCCCCGGGCUCAACCUGGGAACUGCAUCUGAUACUGGCAAGCUUGAGUCUCGUAGAGGGGGGUAGAAUUCCAGGUGUAGCGGUGAAAUGCGUAGAGAUCUGGAGGAAUACCGGUGGCGAAGGCGGCCCCCUGGACGAAGACUGACGCUCAGGUGCGAAAGCGUGGGGAGCAAACAGGAUUAGAUACCCUGGUAGUCCACGCCGUAAACGAUGUCGACUUGGAGGUUGUGCCCUUGAGGCGUGGCUUCCGGAGCUAACGCGUUAAGUCGACCGCCUGGGGAGUACGGCCGCAAGGUUAAAACUCAAAUGAAUUGACGGGGGCCCGCACAAGCGGUGGAGCAUGUGGUUUAAUUCGAUGCAACGCGAAGAACCUUACCUGGUCUUGACAUCCACAGAACCUUGUAGAGAUACGAGGGUGCCUUCGGGAACUGUGAGACAGGUGCUGCAUGGCUGUCGUCAGCUCGUGUUGUGAAAUGUUGGGUUAAGUCCCGCAACGAGCGCAACCCUUAUCCUUUGUUGCCAGCGGUCCGGCCGGGAACUCAAAGGAGACUGCCAGUGAUAAACUGGAGGAAGGUGGGGAUGACGUCAAGUCAUCAUGGCCCUUACGACCAGGGCUACACACGUGCUACAAUGGCGCAUACAAAGAGAAGCGACCUCGCGAGAGCAAGCGGACCUCAUAAAGUGCGUCGUAGUCCGGAUUGGAGUCUGCAACUCGACUCCAUGAAGUCGGAAUCGCUAGUAAUCGUGGAUCAGAAUGCCACGGUGAAUACGUUCCCGGGCCUUGUACACACCGCCCGUCACACCAUGGGAGUGGGUUGCAAAAGAAGUAGGUAGCUUAACCUUCGGGAGGGCGCUUACCACUUUGUGAUUCAUGACUGGGGUGAAGUCGUAACAAGGUAACCGUAGGGGAACCUGCGGUUGGAUCACCUCCUUA
rnacentral:rRNA from 1 species